UGUAUUUGGGACCCAUUUAGAAAAGAAUCUUUUCUUCUUAGUCAUCAGAGGAGCCAUUAGAGAGUCUUCACCAAGACUGAAAAUAUAAGCAAGAGUACAUCUUGAAGUGCUACUGCAGAGGAGGAUGAAAAGUAGAUUCGUGUGUGAAAUUCUACCUACCAAAUAGUGAAGCUGCAAAGUAAGGAAGACUUGAAUGGCCUUGCAUCUUCAAAGAAGUGCCUUGAGCUCUGGAAUGCAACAAAGUGGGAGAAACCACUAAACACCGGGAAAUGUCAACAAUGAGGCGGGAAUGCAUGGGCAGGAAGCCCCCUAAUCAGGAAUUGUCAAAGGACAUCCCUCCAAGAAAGUGAUACGUAUGCACCGUGGAAUACUAUGCAGCCAUAAAAAAGAAUGAGAUUAUGUCCUUUGCAGGGACAUGGAUGGAGCUGGAGGCCAUUAUCAUUAGCAAACUAACACAGGAACAAAUACUGCAUGCUCCCACUUUUAAGGAGGAGCUAAAUGAUGAAAACUCACGGAUGCAUAGCGAGGAACAACACACACUGGGGCCUAUCAGAGGGUGGAGGUUGGGAGGAGAGAGAGGAUCAAGAAAAAUAACUAAUAGGCACUAGGCUUAAUACCUGGGUGAUGAAAUAGUCUAUAUAACAACCCCCCAUGACACAAGUUUACCUAUGCAACAAACCUGCACAUGUACCCCUGAACUUAAAAGUUAAAAAAGAAAUAAAAAAGGAUUCUCUAAACCAAUGAAAGAUGUAACUAUCCCACUUCUAUGGGAUACUUACCUCUAUUUUUAAUUUGUUAUCAUAUAUGGGAUCAGCCUUCAUUAAUUACAGGGAACGGGUAUCAAUCAUAUUUUAAUUUACAGGGUUUAGCAUAUUGCCUAAUAUAUGACAAUCCUCACAUUGAACUUUGCUUUUUGAGAAACAGUUAAACUCCACCUGAAUGACCAGAUAAAUUUGAAAUGAAUAAAAUAUCAAAGUAUAAGUGAUUUAAACAAUUAUAUUCUACUUCAUCUUUGAGAACUUUCCUGACAAUCUGAGUCUAAACACUUCUCUUUUAUCAUUUAUUUUAUCCACUAUGUAGCUAUGAGUAAUCCAUUGUCUUGUAAAAUCUA